UUUUUAAUAUAAAUAUGUCCCAAGCAACAUUUGGGACAUACUUUAUACUAAAA
rnacentral:pre_miRNA from 1 species